CUCACUGUCUCAGCUAAGUGUCACAGCUCUGAGGCACGGCUGAAUGUUACAGCUCAGUGUGGCGGCUCUGGGUUGCAGCGCUCAUUCUUGGAAGACUCGAGAAUCUAAUGGUCCGUUGAAGAGGUGGAGGAAGACGUUUAUUACACCAGGGAGCCCUGGUGGACUCAGAGGAGUCUGAGUGCUCCACCAGAAAUGACAGCCUCCUUGCAUAGGGAUCUACAAGGGCAUAAGCAUUUCCUCCAAGUGCUCCUGGUGCCUUUCUACUCUUGGACCAACAACAAUCCCCAGCUCAACUUCUGUCACACUGAACCGAUACAGAGGAGUGAGAUGUGGAGGGUGUGGAGUUUGAUCCACUGCUUGCCUCCAGCUGCACAGAGUGGGCCAACCCUGCCAUUGCAACCACAGGAGGCCACAUGCACUACUGUCACGGGUGCUGGGAAGUGGCUGGAGCAGCAUGUCUCCCAGGGAAAGCCUUCAGAAAACCAUGCAAACAAAGUAAGUGAAGACCUUUUCCUCCUGCUUUCACUGAGUAUGAAUUAUGGAGCUGAGAUACAAAUGUCAUCAUUGUUAAGUACUGGAAUGAUACAACAAGAGAAACAGUACCCGAUCAAUUUCUUGGACAGACUGAUGAAAACGAGGGCAAAGAGGUCCUAGAAACGCACGAGCACAAACCCCAUGCCACUUGUGCUGUUGGUAAGACACGUGGCUAUGGUCAAGCAGAAUCACUCCCUACAUGUGGACAGGAGCAUGAAAGUCAGAAAGAGAAACCAGCUGUAAAGGGCCCUUGGCUGGAACAUCAACUGUGACCACAGGCAUUCAGAUGAGGCUCAGAAGACUUCGAGUUUACCGGUGGUGUAGCAUCUAGUGGCCAGUCUGGUGAAGGUCACAAAUGUGUGCUUUUUGGUGAAAUAAGGCAGAAAAGGCCAUACAAGCAUGGCCUCCUCUGUAAUGAGUUAAGAAAUCGCUGUUUUUGUUUUGUUGUCAUGGAGACAGAGACCUAGCAGUGGGAAUGCUUGGGACAGACCAGGGCAGUGCCUGCAUGCCCUGGAAUCACCUGAAGAUGCAUAAAAUGUAAUCAAGCCACCCUUAGGUAUAAAGAGCCCAGCCCUGGGAAUCACACGGUUUCUCUACAAGUUUGUUAAUUUGAUGCUGGCUUGGAAACCAGAUACUAGGAAGAGAUAGAAUCUACAUGUAUUUUAUACAAAACAGCAUUAGAAUUUUCACUAAUUGCAUUCUUUCUAUAUGAUUUUAGUGAGCACAAAACAAUCUCAAAUGCUUAAGAUGUACAACCAGGAAAAGGCUUU
rnacentral:lncRNA from 1 species